GUCCUGCCAUAACUGUUUGCCCUUGGUUGUGGUGUGGCCGUAUCCCCAGGCAUGGCACGGCGCGUUGAAAUCCCCACCCACUAUUAGCGGGUUCAGGCCGGCGAGCUCGGCUGCCUUUUUGAGCAGGGAGAGAAAACGCUGCCGUCUUUUGGAUGGGCUACUGUAUAUGUUCAAUAUGAAGAUGCUAUUCUUUUGCGUUCUGUUAGGAAUAAUUUCUAUCAUUAUAUGCUCGGCCUGCGGGCCUGUAAUCUCAUGUUCAAUGGGUACUAGACCCUUUCUGAUUAGUGUGGCAAUGCCCCUAUCGUUUUGGAAUUUAGGGACGAGGGCGUGGUAGCCCGGGAUGUUGGCCGACGCGCCCACGGUUUCUUGAAGCAUUAUCACAUCGGGUUUGGGUUGGAUGUUUCUUACGUAUUGUUGUAGGACAGGUUUUUUCCCGGCUAUACCUCUGCAGUUCCACUGCCAGACCAAUAACUCUUUAUCGUGUCUGGCCAUCCUGGAGUCUUGAAGAAGAAGCUGUUGAAAAACUGGAGCGGUGCACGGGGGGCGGUGCCACCAUGGGAACAUCUGAGAUUACGGGAUUUAUAUUAUGAGUUCCCAUGUUUGGCUGUGGUGAUUGCGACAGAGACGGUGCCCACAUCGCACAUUCUUCGAGCUUGACCACCCUGGUUGUGAGGCCGGAUAUGGCGGAAGACAGAGUGCCGAUUGCACUUUGUAGUUCGGUUGCCGAGGGUCAUAGCGACGCAUAUACUAGAAGUUAUGAAUAUUCCAGCAGUGGGAAUUUUGUUCGUAGCGCACAUCGCGUUUGUGGCUACACAGACUGUUCAGUGCCCCAUAAGAUACAAUGCCGGGGGCUGCACUGUUCUCGGUAAAUUUAUUGCGCGGGGACAAUCUAACCCCUUCUCAGAUCCCUGUAUGCUUGUUUCGUGCCCCCUGUCAUCAAACACCAUUACAAUCACAGGGUGUGAAAGUCGUGUUGGGAUCUCUGCUGGGCCACCGGGUGCACCAUCACGAGGAGCUAUACAACCCUGGCCUCGAUGCUGUGAUUAUUGUGGCUCAUCUGCAGCUCAAAGAAGACCGUAAAAUGACCUAAUUGCUUGACUCAGCUUGUGUAUAUCACGGAGAUGUCUUCAUGAAAUUAGUAUGACAUAGGAUCAUGAAUUUUCUCUGUACCGAUACCAACAUUCACAUGGUGUAAAGGCCAUGGCUCUUUCUGUUAAAUAAAUAAAGUACUUAGCAGGCUA